GCCUGGGUGGCUCAGUUGGUUGAGCGUCUGACUUCGGCUCAGGUCAUGAUCUUGCGGUUCAUGAGUUCGAGCCACGUGCCCGGCU
rnacentral:tRNA from 1 species